rnacentral:rRNA from 1 species
UGUCUAAGUACGUGCCUAAGAAAGGUGAAACCGCGAAUGGCUCAUUAAAUCAGUUAUGGUUCCUUAGAUCGUACCUUACUACUUGGAUAACUGUGGUAAUUCUAGAGCUAAUACAUGCAGCAGAGCUCCGACCUUCGGGGACGAGCGCUUUUAUUAGACCAAGACCAAUCGGACUUCGGUCCGAAGCUCAUGGUGACUCUGGAUAACUUUGGGCUGAUCGCACGGUCUCGUACCGGCGACGCAUCUUUCAAGUGUCUGCCUUAUCAACUUUCGAUGGUAGGUUAUGCGCCUACCAUGGUCGUAACGGGUAACGGGGAAUCAGGGUUCGAUUCCGGAGAGGGAGCCUGAGAAACGGCUACCACAUCCAAGGAAGGCAGCAGGCGCGCAAAUUACCCACUCCCGGCACGGGGAGGUAGUGACGAAAAAUAACAAUACGGGACUCUAUUGAGGCCCCGUAAUUGGAAUGAGUACACUCUAAAUCCUUUAACGAGGAUCUAUUGGAGGGCAAGUCUGGUGCCAGCAGCCGCGGUAAUUCCAGCUCCAAUAGCGUAUAUUAAAGUUGUUGCGGUUAAAAAGCUCGUAGUUGGAUCUCAGUUCCAGACGGGUGGUCCACCCCUGGUGGCUACUGCCUGGCCUGAACAAAUCCAGCCGGUUUUCCUUGAUGCUCUUCACCGAGUGUCUUGGGUGACCGGCACGUUUACUUUGAAAAAAUUAGAGUGCUCAAAGCAGGCGUGACGCCUGAAUAAUGGUGCAUGGAAUAAUGGAAUAGGACCUCGGUUCUAUUUUGUUGGUUUUCGGAACACGAGGUAAUGAUUAAGAGGGACAGACGGGGGCAUUCGUAUUGCGACGCUAGAG